rnacentral:misc_RNA from 1 species
ACUUAAGUAUAUUGGAUAUUAUUUGCGAAGUCAAAAUUCAUAGCUAUAACACUGAAUAACUUAAAAAUCAGAAUGAAUAAAUUAGUAUUGAUUUUAUUUGAAGGAUUGUGUACAAGUAUUGCCUGCUGCUUUUCAUCAAACGAUUUUGAAAGGAGAGUUGUUAUAACGAUGAAAUGGAAUGAAAGUGGUAUUAUAAUACAAGACUUGGAAGUAAAUAAUUUCCGCCUUCUAAACAAGGUCAUCCAAAACAAUUAUAUAUUUGAGUACCAAGGGAUGGGCAAUACGUCAGAAUUAAAUGAAUUGAUAUCAAGUCUUAAAACAAAACAUAAGGACAUGAUUGUGGCAAUAGAGAGAGUUGUUGUGUAUAAUGAUACUUUGAAACCUGGAGGAGUAACUACAAACAACAAUCUUGAUGAAUUACAGAAUGAUUCCGGUUCUGGACAUGAGAACUAUUAUGGCAUGGGUGUACGAAGGGCAUGGUUGCUUGGAUAUACUGGGAAGGGAGUUACUGUAGCUGUGACAGAUGUAGGGAUACAUACAGGUCUACUUGAUCUUAAGAACAACAUUGAAGACGCAUUCUGCUAUAACUUCAUCAACGAUAGUAAGAAUAUAACGCCAGAGUUUUUCCACAAUCUAAAGGCGGAGUCGUCCAUGUUUACUGAUCAUGGGGACCACUGUGCAUCAUUAAUUGCGUCUGCAUAUGGAAAUGAAAUAUGUUCAUCUGGAAUAGCAUUCAACGCGACUGUUGUUGGACUAAAGAUAUAUAUGGUAAAACUUAUCAAAGGCAUACAUUUCGACAUUGUUCCUAGAUACUCCUCUAGAUCCGAUAUUGUCGCAAGGGCACUGGCAUACAACCAUACCAUUGAUAUAUAUUCAAACGCUUGGGCUCCUACAGAUCCUUUCGUUGACUUAGAUACCCUAACUAAAGAGGUUUUAAAACGUGGUGCAGAGAAUGGACGUCGAGGAUUAGGUAUAAUAUAUGUGUUCCCGGCGGGACCAGUCGGAAAUGGAUUUGCAAACAGUAUCUACACUAUUGCGGUAAAUGGUGUUGGCCAGUAUGGACGUAUCCACAAAGACUCGACACUAAGUGCUAGUGUUAUAACUUCAGGUCUGACAGAUGGAAGUAAUAUAACAGCAAGUUACAUGUUAACGACGUCUAGCAACAACAAAUGUGUAACUAGUUUCAAUGGAGUAUCACCAGCCACGGCACAGAUUGCGGCUAUUAUUGGUUUAGCUCUUGAAGCAAACCGAAAUAUGACACUGAGAGAUGUUCAGCAUCUUCUAGUUCAGGCGUCAGAGCCAGUAGGAAAACCAGGAGAUAACAAUUUCACAUUAAAUGGUCCUGGGAGAUACUUCCACAGCGUAUUUGGAUAUGGGUUGCUCAACGCCGGAAGACUUGUGACACUUGCAGAAAACAGGCAACCAGUUGCUCCUUUAUUAACAGAAGAAGAAAAGCCAAUUGAUAUUCGAUACACAACUCCUUUUACACAGGAAGUGGACUUUUGUUAUAGCUGUGUAGUAAACAACAGCUCGAAAUGCGUCAGUAAGCUGGAGCAUGUCACAAUAAACAUUAGCUUCCAAACUGCUUGCGGAAAACUCCAGAUUGUGUUGGCAUCACCAGAUGGCACAGAAUCAGUAUUAGUAGAUUUACCCAAUGUUUCAGAAAAUAGCCGUUAUACGAUUCAUCUGAUGUCUGUACAGUUUUGGGAUGAGGUGGCUUUUGGGACAUAUAUGUUGAAAAUAAUUGGUGGAUCAUAUAAAUGUGGUCGGUCAAAAGUUUUGUCGGUUUCAUUAAUUCUGUAUGGAACAAACGAUCACAAAGCCAAAGAAAGACAAUGUCGUGUUGCCAAAAAACAUGCGAAUAAUGACAAACGAGUCUACAGUGAUACAGAAUAUGCAUUAAUUUAUGUAGGAGGAGGAGCAGUUGUUCUUACAGCUUUAAUGGUUUAUGCAUAUAGGAUUAAUGCUUCACGAAUUUUCAUAAUCAAAUACUGGACAAGACUGCAACGUUUUGCAUGCAAGCGUCUACCUCCAUCAGACAAAUACGAACUACAUCCAUUACGAAAUAACAUUGGAUGCUCCGACCUAGUGGGAACACGCUUUAACGACAGUCCAGAAGUCCAGGGUUCUAAUCCCGGUCCAAUCACCUAACGUUUAUGGAGCACGUUAAAGAACCAGGCUGCCUUUUUACAAAACCAAAGCUAAACUCGGUUUGAUUGAGUCUGUUCAUGAACAGUCAUGGAAAAUGCAACUCUGCCCACUCCCCCUAGCACCGGCUCAAGCAGUAUUCAAUUUUCAAAUCUAGAUGAGUUGAAAUCAAUGAUCCCGAAGGACCAGAAAAUAUAACAACACUGAGAUGAACUCAUAUAAAAUAUAUAGUGCGUGGUUUGUAUUUUUAGUUCUACUGUCUUAGAAUUUUAUACAAUACAAGCAGUAAAAUACCAGAUUAACUUUACAAUGUACU